UGUGACAGGUUUGAACAGAAGGUUAUUGUGACAGGGGUAUGAACAGAAGGUUAUUGUGACGGGUAUGAACAGAAGGUUAUUGUGACAGGUAUGAACAGAAGGUUAUUGUGACAGGUAUGAACAGAAGGUUAUUGUGACAGGGGUAUGAACAUAAGGUUAUUGUGAUGGGUAUGAGCAGAAGGUUAUUGUGAUGGGUAUGAACAGAAGGUUAUUGUGACGGGUUUGAACAGAAGGUUAUUGUGAUGGGUAUGAACAGGGGGUUAUUGUGACAGGUUUGAACAGAAGGUUAUUGUGAUGGGUAUGAACAUAAGGUUAUUGUGAUGGGUAUGAACAGAAGGUUAUUGUGACGGGUUUGAACAGAAGGUUAUUGUGAUGGGUAUGAACAGGGGGUUAUUGUGACAGGUUUGAACAGAAGGUUAUUGUGACAGGUAUGAACAGAAGGUUAUUGUGACAGGUAUGAACAGAAGGUUAUUGUGACAGGUAUGAACAGAAGGUUAUUGUGACCGGUAUGAACAGGGGGUUAUUGUGACAGGUAUGAACAGGGGUUAUUGUGACAGGUAUGAACAGGGGGUUAUUGUGACAGGUAUGAACAGAAGGUUAUUGUGACAGGUAUGAACAGGGGGUUAUUGUGACAGGUAUGAACAGAAGGUUAUUGUGACAGGUAUGAACAGAAGGUUAUUGUGACAGGUAUGAACAGAAGGUUAUUGUGACAGGUAUGAACAGAAGGUUAUUGUGACAGGUAUGAACAGAAGGUUAUUGUGACAGGUAUGAACAGAAGGUUAUUGUGACAGGUAUGAACAGAAGGUUAUUGUGACGGGUUUGAACAGAAGGUUAUUGUGACAGGUAUGAACAGAAGGUUAUUGUGACGGGUUUGAACAGAAGGUUAUUGUGACAGGUAUGAACAGAAGGUUAUUGUGACAGGGGUAUGAACAGGGGGUUAUUGUGACAGGGGUAUGAACAGGGG